AGGUAUUGAAUUGAGACCUGUCCCCAAGUAUUACAUUGGGAAGGGUCCCCAGGUAUUAAAUUGAGAAGGGUCCCCAGGUAUUAAUUUGAGAAGUGUCCCCAGGUAUUGAAUUAAGAGGUGUCCCCAAGUAUUACAUUGGGAAGUGUCCCCAGGUUUUGAAUUGAGAAGGGUCCCCAGUUAUUACUUUGGGAAGUGUUCCCAGGUAUUAUGUUGGGAAGUGUCCCCAGGUAUUGAAUUGAGAAGGGUCCCCAGUUAUUACUUUGGGAAGUGUUCCCAGGUAUUAUGUUGGGAAGUGUCCCCAGGUACUGAAUUGAGAAGUUUCCCCAGGUAAUAAAUUGAGAUGUGUUCCCAGGUCUUGAAUUGAGAAGGGUCCCCAGGUAUUGAAUUGAGAAGGGUCCCCAGGUCUUGAAUUGAGAAGGGUCCCCAGGUAUUGAAUUGAGAAGGGUCCCCAGGUAUUAAAUUGAGACGUGAUGGAAAGCAGAGAAAAAGGAUCCAAAUGAAACACUAAAGAGUAAAGAGACCAUACACAGAUUUGUCGAUUCCAGGCUCACUCUACUGCUAGUAUACAAGGUUGUAAUCACUACCCAUAACUAAUAGUAAUUUGACAUUUAGCUGACACUUUACUGAGCAACAAAGUCUGCAGUUCCAAAUUCACUUGAUAGAGACAAAUGUGACAUUAACAUUUUUAGAGGGAGAAUGUCUUGGCAUUAUUAUUUUAUAUUCAU
ensembl:lncRNA